rnacentral:rRNA from 1 species
GUAGUCAUAUGCUUGUUUCAAGGAUUAAGCCAUGCAAGUCUCAUAGUAAAUGGAUUAACAGUGGGUCUGCAGACGGCUCAUUAAAUCAGCAACAAUCUACGCGGGGAAAGUGCUGCAAGGCACUCACGUGGAUAACAUUGGUAACCCAAUGCUAAUACAUGUCAGAAGAAUCCGACUCAGGUCUCACUCCAGGGGUCAACCCUGGGGCUGGUCGGAUGCAGUUGACCGAAACAAAAACCAACGCUAGCAAUACCAGCGGUACAUGGAUGAAUCAGGUCAACCGAGCGAUAGCACAUGCUUCGGCGGUGCAAGCCCGCAAGAGCUUCUGCCCUAUCAGCUUGUCGGUAGUGUAGUGGACUACCGUGGCUGUAACGGGUAACGGGGAAUUAGGGUUCGAUUCCGGAGAGGGAGCCUGAGAAACGGCUACCACAUCUAAGGAUGGCAGCAGGCGCGCAAAUUGCCCAAUAGCAACACAGCUGAGGCAGCGAACAGAAAUAGCAUCUCUUACCCGCACCGCGGGUUGGAGAAUGCAAUGGGAGAUAUCUAAACCUGUCUAUGACGAUCAAUUGGUGGACAAGUCUGGUGCCAGCACCCGCGGUAAUUCCAGCACCAAUAGCGUAUAUUAAUGCUGCUGCUGUUAAAAAGCUCGUAGUUGGAUCCAGGGUUGCAGGUUGUACAGGGGCCCCAUGAUCUGUGGAUCCUUCGGGUGAAGCAGGGAUUGCGGGAACAAACCUUGUACGCCAAACCUGCACUCUAUUCAGGUGGUAACGGUGCCCUGUGAGUAGGCCCCUUCAUUGGGGUCGAAAGCGAUUACGUGUCAACCAUACGCAUACGGGCCGACCGCCGGAAGUUACUGUGAACAAACCAGCGUGUUCAAAACAGGCGUUUGCCUUGAAUGAUAAAGCAUGGAAUAACAAGGGAUCGAUCGACUCGGAUCUUUUUGUUGGUUUUAACCCCGAGAAGAGUAAUUCAGGCGUCUAGUCCAUUCAGGCGAAGCCUUCGGGCCCAACCUGUCUGGCUUUUCGCCUUACUGGGAUCAAUAGGGACUGCCGGGGUCGUACGUACUCUCACGUCAGAGGUGAAAUUCUUGGAUCGUGGGGAGACGAACUUCUGCGAAAGCAUUCGACAAGAAUGUCUUCAUUAAUCAAGAACGAGAGUGUGGGGAUCGAAGAUGAUCAGAUACCGUCGUAGUCCACUACUGUAAACGAUGCCGUCUCACGAUCGAGAGCUUGUCAUUUAAGUAUCUCACGGCACUCCCUGAAACGAGAAAUCAGAGAUUAUGGGUUCAGGGGGGAGUACAUUCGCAAGGCUGAAACUUAAAGGAAUUGACGGAAUGACACCACCAGGCGUGGAGUAUGCGGCUUAAUUUGACUCAACACGGGGAAUUUUACUAGGUCAGGACAGUGUAAGGAUUGACAGAUUGAGAGCUCUUUCUCGAUCCAUUGUGUGGUGGUGCAUGGCCGCUCCUGGUUGGUGGAGUGAUUUGUCUGGUUGAUUCCGUUAACGAACGAGAUCUCGACCCUUUAAUAGGUGCAGCUGUCGUAUUGUAGUUCCGGUGCAACUGCCUUCGGGCAGGGGCCUGGUUUGAGACAGGCUGGAUUACUUCUUAAGGGGACUGUGUGUGCUCCCAGCACGCGGAAGAGCGAGCCAAUAGCAGGUCUGUGAUGCUCCUAAAUGUCCUAGGCUGCACGCGCACUACACUGACGCAUUAAACGAGCCUGAUUGCCUACGGGCAACCUGCCUUGAAGAGGGUGGGAAACCUUUUGAACUUGCGUCGUGAUGAGGAUCGAUGAUUGCAAUUAUUCUCCUUGAAUGAGGAAUGCCUAGUAGGCGCAAGUCAUCAGCUUGCACUGAUUACGUCCCUGCCAUUUGUACACACCGCCCGUCGUUGCUACCGAUUGGCUGUGGGACAGAGCCCGAGGGAGGGUGCGUACCUGGCUUGCCUUGUAUGCGUCCAAACUCGAGCAAUGUUUCUCAGCUAGAGGAAGCAAAAGUCGUAACAAGGUUGCU